rnacentral:misc_RNA from 1 species
AUGUUCUAAAUCAUUAUCCUCAUGUUUUUUAAGUAACAGUUUCAAAUCCUCCUUACUCCUGUUAAAAGAAAAAGCUUUAGGCUUAUGCUGAGGAUCCAGGGAUGAAGAAGCCUCCUUGCUUUCUAGUGGUGAAUCUCCUAAUGAGGAUUGCUGAGUCUUUGCAUGGAAAGGAUCAAAGCGGUUUGCUAACCAAGUGAAACAAGAAACAUUGAUUACCAUUAAAUUGGCCAACAUGUGAAUCAGAAAUAUAAACCAAAAGAGGCAGGCAAAAAAGAGCGAAGUUGCACUACAAAAGCUGAAGCAUUGGGUUCUCUAGGUAAGAACCUAGUAACAAAUGACAAUGGUGUAGCAGUGCAGAUACACAAAUUUAUCAAGGAAGUGCAGAUAAUUUAUGUCCAGAAUUCAAAGAGGUCAUGGCAACAAAAAGGAAAAUAUCAUGUAGCAGUUACAAAUAUCAGGUAGUACCCAGUGCUGAUUUUAAAUAGUGCAUAGGGAUGAGUAUUCUGGGUGUCCUAAGCUACAGCAUAUUAGCAUUUGCAUGUAAUAGGAGGUGCAUUCAAGGAUGUAUUAUAAUGCACAGAGCUAAGUUAAUCAUACUCCUAAAUGUACUAAUCACACUAAAUUAUUCAGAUGACAACUAGUAUAAAGAAUCAUAUUGAAGCCUACCAAACUUCAGUAUCUAGGCAACUCAAAUGUGGCCUAC